rnacentral:tRNA from 2 species
CGGGAUAUAGCGCAGCUUGGUAGCGCGUCCGUCUGGGGGACGGAAGGUCGUCGGUUCAAAUCCGGCUAUCCCGACCA